GGAAGGUUUAACAAAUAGAAUAACGAAGACUGUAACUAUUGCGGAGUUAAUUAAGAGAAGAAUUGUCGGUCUUCAUCAGAUUACAUCUAUUGGAUCCACGGAUAUAACAGAUAUGUGGGAACCUCUUGAAGAAGGAAUUCUUCCAUUGGAGACCACUAGGCAUGUGUCCAUGAUCACUAUAACCCUUUCAAAGAUUGAAUUGAAUACAUCGUCUAUCGGGUAAGUUCCUACAUUUAUUUCCCUUUACUGCGUUGUACUUUACUAUGCUCGGUGCUUUCAGUUUUAGUGAAUUUUAAAUAUUAAGCGUCAUUUGUGUUCCUUUUUUAGUUAAUAUGAAACUAGUUGGCUAUAGUUCAUUACAAAUAAUCUUGUUUACUUUCACCUUUAUGAAUUUUGGGGCCUAGAAAAUUUUAGCGUACAGAAAGGGUUUGUGGCUUUAGGUUCUUCUUAUGGUGGUGGCAUGAAGAUAGAUGAUUAGAAGAACAUGUGUAGUCAUUUUGAAAGUGACAAAUCUCAGGUAAAAUGCUUUUUAUGUUGAUUAAUUAUGUAUUAUUUAUGAAAUAAAAUAAACAAAAAGGUAUUAUAUAUGCAGUGUCAAAGUAAAGCAAAUAAGAACAA